rnacentral:rRNA from 1 species
UGGGGAAUAUUGGACAAUGGGCGCAAGCCUGAUCCAGCAAUGCCGCGUGAGUGAAGAAGGCCCUAGGGUUGUAAAACUCUUUCACCGGGGAAGAUAAUGACGGUACCCGGAGAAGAAGCCCCGGCUAACUCCGUGCCAGCAGCCGCGGUAAUACGGAGGGGGCUAGCGUUGUUCGGAAUUACUGGGCGUAAAGCGCGCGUAGGCGGCUUGGCAAGUUGGAGGUGAAAUCCCGAAGCUCAACUUCGGAACUGCCUCCAAAACUGCCUGGCUCGAGGCAGGGAGAGGAGAGCGGAAUACCCAGUGUAGAGGUGAAAUUCGUAGAUAUUGGGUGGAACACCGGUGGCGAAGGCGGCUCUCUGGCCCUGAUCUGACGCUAAGGCGCGAAAGCGUGGGGAGCAAACAGGAUUAGAUACCCCCGUAGUCC